GUGCUCACUUUGGCAGCACGUACACUAAAAUUGGAACAAUACAGAGAUUAGCAUGGCCUCUGCACAAGGAUAACAUGCAAAUCCAUGAAGCAUUCCAUAUUUUU